CUCUAUUUUUCUUUUUUCUUUAGUGCAAACGAAAGGAAAACAAAUCCUUACCUUUGAGUCUACCCAACACCGACGCUACCACUACCUCUGAACAAUAGCUGUGCAACCAAAGCUUUACAACAGUCUUCUCCGUCAUACACCCCACAACAAACACCGCUAUCGCUUUCUCUCAAGGUAAUUAAUAGAUGGAAAUCGCAAAAUUGAAGUAAUGAAUGCUAUAAAGAACUCAGUUUUCCAACUAUCUGUCCAAUACCCAUCUCGAUUUAACUGUUCGUGGGCUCAAUUCUUCCGCAAGUAACAGCUUUACUAAUUUCUCAUUUUUCAUUCCCCAUAUUGAUUUCAAUCGUACUUAAUUAUCCAUUUCCUACAUUGGUUUUGUGAUUUCUUCUUGGAUGUGUGGAAUUGAUAAUAAGUAAUAAAGAAAUAUGGAGAUCGACGAAAUAUUUAGGGAUUCACGGCGGGAAAAGUCCUCAUAUCAGAAUAAUUGAAGUCAGUUUGGCGCCAAAUAUUUCUGAUUAGUUUGCUUAGCUAUCAAUUAGCUGGCUGUUAUAAACUACCUUCCCGCCAUUUUUCUUCUCCCUAUUUAACGUGAUUGUACAGAACAUUUUCAGUUGAAUGAGAUAUUUUUCCAUUUCUCAAUUUCCUCUUCUCCUUUAAUAUGGUAUCAAAGUAGAGGCUUCCUUAGCUUCGCAAUUUGCUCAAUUUGAUCCGCCAUGGCAAAAAAGGGAGAUCUAGCUUUAUCAUCCAUUUUGGCUUCAUCUUCAUCAAUGAAUCAUUCUUCCAUUGAUGAUGUCUCCAGUCCGUAUUACCUUCAUCAUUCAGACAGUCCUGGUAUAGUUCUAGUUUCACAGCAACUAACUAGUGAAAAUUAUGCUGCCUGGAAUCGAGCCUUGACCAUAGCAUUAAAGGUGAAAAAUAAAUUCGAUUUUGUUGAUGGAUCGAUUACUCGACUUGAAGGCAACACUGAGUUGCUUAAUGCCUGGAUCCGCAACAACAACAUCGUCAUCUCUUUGAUUCUUAAUUCCGUAACAAAGGAAAUUUCAGCUAGCAUCAUCUAUUAGGAAUCUGCUCAUGAGAUUUGGAGAGAUCUCAAGGAGAGAUUUUAGCAGAGGAAUGGUCCUCGAAUCUUCCAAUUAAGGCGUGAAUUGAUGAAUUUGACACAAGGACAAUCAUCCGUUAGUGCUUAUUUUACCAAAUUGAAAUCAAUUUGGGAAGAAUUAAGCAAUUACAAGCCGUCAUGUACCUGUGGAAAAUGCGAAUGUUGUGGCAACAAAAGGUUGGUAGAUCAUUAUCACAUGGAGUAUGUCAUGUCAUUCCUAAUGGGAUUGAAAGACUCUUAUGCACAGGUCAGGGGGCAGUUGCUGCUCAUGGAUCCAAUUCCAUCGAUAAAUAGGGUGUUUUCACUCAUUUCACAGGAAGAACAUCAGAGAGCUAUUAACCUGAAUGUUGGAUCUGCUGGUUCCUUAGCCUUUUAUGCUAGAAAUGAAGUGAAGAGGACAGGUAUGGGGCAGCCAUCUCAUGGCAGGAAUCAAAAGGAGAGACCAACUUGUACAUAUUGUGGAUAUGAAGGAAAUGUGAUUGAUAGAUGUUAUAAACUCCAUGGAUAUCCACCUGGAUACAAGCCAAAGCAGAAACCUGGUUCACACAAUUACACAGGUUUUAAUCCCCACUCAAAUAAUAAUGUUGUCAAUCAAAUUUAUGGUUCUGUUUCAGACCAAUCUCAGGGCAAUACUGGGAAUUUUAUGCAAACCUUGAACCAUGAUCAGUGCCAACAGUUGAUGAGUAUGUUGAGCACACACCUCACAACUUCUAAGAUGGAUGAUGAAGUAGCUAAUGUUGAUCAUGUGUCAGGUACAGUUUUAUCUGUUUCCAUUAAUCAAGUCCUUAAUUCUCCUAGGCAUUGGGUGUUGGAUUCAGGGGCAACUAGUCAUGUAUGCUUCAACCGUGCAUGCUUUCACACAUUAAAGGCUAUGCAAGAUGCAUGUAUUACAUUGCCUAACCAUGCCAUGAUUCGUGUGAAUUUUGUUGGACAUAUUAAACUUACUCUUUACUUGGUGCUGGAAGAUGUGUUAUAUGUGCCCCAGUUCAAGUUCAAUUUGCUGUCCAUUAGUGCACUGACCAAAAGGUCUUCUAUAAGCAUCAAGUUUCUUACCGAUGGCUGUGAUAUUCAGGAUCUAUGCAGCUUGAGGAUGAUUGGCAAGGGUAGACGGGUUAGUGGACUUUACAUCCUGGAUAGCACAAUGAAAUAUGGAUGUAAUAGUGUCAAACAUAUCUGUAAUUCUGAUUCUGUUGUAAUGAAUAAUGUGGAUUCAUAUACUUGGCAUAAUAGACUUGGUCACUUGUCUUUUAAAAGACUAGCUGGUUUGAAGGAACAAUUACAUUUUAAAUGUAAUAAGGGUAAUGAAGAUGUCCCUUGUUCUAUCUGCCCUCUUACUAAACAAAGGCGUUUAUCGUUUGUUUCAAACAAUCACUUAUCUCCCAAUGCAUUUGAUCUUGUUCAUGCUGACACUUGGGGUCCAUAGAGUUCAACAACACGUGAUGGUCACAGAUACUUUCUCACUUUAGUUGAUGAUUGUACAAGGUUCACUUGGGUCUAUCUCAUGAAGCAAAAAUCAGAUGUUCUUGCAAUCAUUCCUAAGUUUUUUUGUCUGGUUGAGACACAAUUUAAUAAGGUCAUUAAAGCCUUCAGGUCUGACAAUGCCCCCGAGUUGCAAUUCACAGAUUUUUUUAGCUCCAAAGGUGUUCUACAUCAAUUCUCUUGCAUAGAACGACCUGAGCAAAAUUCUGUUGUUGAAAGGAAGCACCAACAUUUACUUAAUGUUGCUCGAGCCCUAUUCUUCCAAUCCCAAGUCCCUAUUCAAUUCAAUUUUGGGGAGAUUGUGUUCUCACAGCGACCUACCUCAUUAAUCGUACCCCAUCUCCUGUUCUACAAAAUCAGUCACCAUUUUCAUUACGUUACAAAACUCCAGUGGAUUAUGCUUUUCUCAAGGUCUUUGGUUGUUUGUGUUUUGCAUCAACCCUCACUUCUCAUCGCAAGGCAUGUGUUUUCAUUGGAUACCACCCUGGCAUAAAAGGAUACAAGUUAUAUGACAUUGUAUCAAAAUCCAUUUUUAUAGCCAGAGAUGUAGUAUUUCAUGAAAGCAUUUUUCCCUUUCAUCCUAUCUCAAAAACUCAUGAAAUCAUUGAUAAUUUUCCUAACCUUGUGUUACCUAAGCCUGCACUUGAUAUACCUAUGCAUCAUGCUGUCAACAUUCCUAAUCAUGAUUCGGUUGAUAAUGAUGUUCCUACCAUGUCUUCUCCUGAUUCACCUUCAACAUCAGAACCCAUCACAGAACCACAAGCCACUCCAGUCCAUCCCAAUCCCAAUCUCAGAAGGUCCCUUAGGCAUAGCAAACCUCCAGCAUAUAUUUCCAGGAAUUUCACUGUAGUCUUUUGGCUAAUUCUCCCAUUCCUCAGACCUCAUCCCAGUAUCCUUUAAGUGACUGCCUUGGCUACACAAAAUUUUCUAAAUCUCAUAAUAAUUUUCUCUUUAAUAUCUCCUCAAACUUCGAGCCUCAAUUUUACCACCAAGCUGUGAGACAUGACCAUUGGCAGGAAGCUAUGGCCUCUGAGCUAGCUGCUAUGGAGCUGAAUAACACCUGGUGUGUCACUACUUUGCCCAAAGAAAAUCAUGCCAUUGGCUGCAAAUGGGUGUAUAAAAUAAAGUAUAAGUCAGAUGGGAGUAUUGAUCGAUACAAAGCGCGCUUAGUGGCCAAAGGGUACACUCAACAGGAGGGCUGGACUUCAUUGAAACCUUCUCCCCAGUGGCUAAGUUGGUGACUGUGAAAUUACUCCUGGCCAUAGCAGCAAUUAAUAGUUGGCAUAUCAUCCAAUUGGAUGUCAAUAACGCCUUCCUUCAUGGUGAUUUAUUCGAGGAAAUUUAUAUGGAAUUGCCAAUGGGAUAUAAACCCCCCUCCACAUCAGGCAAGCAGGGGAGCAUUAGGUUUGCAAGUUACAUAAGUCUAUAUAUGGCCUAAAACAGGCCUCGAGACAAUGGUUUGCAAAAUUUUCUCAUGCUCUUAUCUUACAUGGAUUUCACCGGUCUAAAUCAGAUUAUUCCUUAUUUACAAAAGGUUCUGGUAAUGAAUUUGUUGCUUUACUUGUGUAUGUUGAUGACAUAGUCAUCACCGGGUCCAAUCUCCAAGUUAUAGAAUCUUUGAAAUCAUUUCUUCACAGUCAUUUUAAGCUUAAGGACCUUGGUAACCUUAAAUACUUCCUUGGCUUGGAAAUUGCGAGAUCACAUAACGGCAUUGUUUUAUCACAGAGACAAUAUGUUCUCCAGUUGCUUGAAGACACAAGGUUUCUAGCUUGUAAGCAUGCAGCCAUGCCUAUGGAUCCUAAAGUUCGAUUGAGCUCCUUUGAGGGGGAGUUGUUGGAAGAUAGUUCUAUGUAUAGGAGGCUUGUUGGACGAUUACUUUAUCUAACAGUCUCCAGACCAGACAUUACUUUUGCAAUUCAUAAGCUCAGUCAGUUUGUGUCUUAGCCGCGGAAACCUCAUUUAACAGCCAUCCAUCAUCUACUUCAAUACAUCAAGGCAACCCCAGGCCAGGGUCUCUUAUUUUCUGCUGACUCAUCCUUACAAUUACGGGCUUAUGCUGAUGCCGAUUGGGGCUCAUGUCCAGAUUCCAGAAAAUCUAUUACUGGGUUUUGUGUGUUUCUUGGAGAUUCUAUGGUUUCGUGGACGGCUAAAAAGUAAAGCAUAAUAUCAAUAUCAUCAGCUGAAGCUGAAUAUUGUGCCUUAUCUUCUACUACCAGUGAACUUGUAUGGAUACAACAGUUGCUUCUUUAUUUCCAGAUUACAUCUACAGGUCCAGCUUUGACUUUUUGUGACAACCAAGCUGCGGUCCACAUUGCCACCAAUCCUAUCUUCCAUGAGAGAACGAAGCAUAUAGAGAUAGAUUGCCACUUUGUAAGGGAUAAAAUCACUGAUGGUUUCAUCAAGCUGCUACCAGUUCGAAGCAACCACCAACUUGCUGAUAUACUUACCAAACCUUUACUAGCAACUUCAUUGUCUCACCUACUAUCCAAGAUGGCUGUUGUCAAUUUACAUAAUCCAUCUUGAGGGGGAGUAUCAGAAUAAUUGAAGUCAGUUUGGCGCCAAAUAUUUUUGAUUAGUUUGAUUAGCUGGACGUUAUAAACUACCUUCCCGCCAUUUUUCUUCUUCCUAUUUAACGUGAUUGUACAGAACAUUUUCAGUUGAAUGAGAUAUUUUUCCAUUUCUCAAUUUCCUCUUCUCCUUUAAUACCUCACAAAGGUGCAAUCUACGUUUGGGGAUAUUGGAAGUCGGGUCAAACGGGUCGGAGGGGUAAAGAGCACAACUUGAGGUCCCGAGGCAGCUUCUGCUGGAGCUUUUCUGUUUUUCCGCCGAUGAAAAUUCCGGUAGCUUGAUAUUGCUUGUGCCGUGAUCACACUACUACAGACGCCUUCAUGGCUUGCUUUUCACAUGGGGUAUGUAAAGUAACAUUCCUUCUUUAUCGUUUAAUUUAUCAAAGUUUUAUUGCUCUUCGCUAUGUUGUCAUAUUCUUCAGGAUAUUGAACUUUUCAAUCAAAUUCAAUUUACUAUUUUUCAAAAAAAAGAAAAAAAAAAGUACAUUCACUGGUUAUCUGGCGUUUUAUAUGUUUUCCUUUCUUCCUAUUAGCUGUAGUGGGAAUUUUAGUUAAUUAAAUAAUUGGGGAUAAUAAAGUGUUUAAAGUCGUCCACCAGAUUGUAUAAUUCGGCGAAAUAAAGGUAAAUAUUAGGCAAUAAUACUGAAAAAUUGAGUGGAGUAUACAUAAAAAAUUAGAAUUUUUGGCCUGUCAUGUUUUUGUUGUCAAUAUUACUUACGACAUUCUGUUUUGUGUUUUGUUAUGUUGGACAAUUCAGUUGAUGACCCAUUGUUAGCUUAGACUCAAUAUGAUGGAAAAUAUGAAAUGGAGUUUGAAGAAGGGGAAGGGGAAGGGGAAGGGGAAGAGCCCAUGAUUGCAACAGAUAGUGUAGGUUCUAUUCAUUGAUGAAAAAGUAAUAUGUACCAUCAUUAAGAUUAUGAAAUCUAUCAUACGAAUUCCUUUGGGUCCAAUAUUCAUGGGCACAAAUUUAACUAGAAGACAUACGUCUGUCUUAGUGUAUAUUUCGUAAUUUAGUUUGUGAAGUUUGAAUCAUAUUGAGUAUUUUCUGUCUGCAGGUCAACUUCUAAUGUGUCUUGAGGGUUUUACUGUUUGUCAUCUCGCAAUAAUUUACUGUUAAGAUUUAAUAUAGGAAGCAAGUAUACGAUUAAUUGUUCUAUUUAUUCUUCUUCUUUUACUUUAGAUUGUUUUUGUUGAAAAUAUAAAUUAAGUAAAUAAGUUUGACUCGUAUUAUAUGAUGGAUUGGGUUAAAGCAAUGUCAUAUUGUAUUGAGUUAAAACGUAUAUCGUAUGAAAUGUAGAAUCAACAGUACAUUGAGGUAGUUGCAAUAUACUAUUUAGGCCGCCUUUUACAUUAUGAUAAAUGGUUUUCAAAUCAAUUUUUAUAAUCUAUCUUGAAACAUGUUGGCUGGAGUGUUAUCCAGGCACAGUGUCUCUAUUAAUUGAUUGUUUUCAUAUUUGAUUAUGUGCUAAUUUGUGUUAUUAUAUGCUUUUUAAUGAUAAAAUAAAGGUAUUCCAUGUUCUUGUUCACUUUAAUAUUUUUUGAAGUUUUAAUUUUUGAUCCUUGUUACAUUGAUAGAUUUGUACAUCGGCGAUACAAUGGAAGUAGCCAAGACUAGAUGGCUCAUGCCAAAUGAAAUUCAUCUCAUACUCUGCAAUUACAAGUAUUUCAGCAUUAAUCUCAAGCCUGUGAAUUUGCCAAAAAGUGAUACAUCUUGCUUUUCUUUUCCUUCUUCAUUCUUCUGUAAGUUUACCUUAUUGAUUACUAUUCGGAGUUUCGUUUUCUUUUUUCUAAUUCCGAUUGAUUGCUAAUUCUCUUUUGCCUUAUUGAAGAGGGAGGUGGAAGAUUGGAGCACAGCCCACUAAUCGAUCAAAGACAAGUUGUAAUGUAGUCAAUAUUUUUUCAAUUCUUGAAGCAGUAAAACUUCCACUGCACCCAAAGUUGCUGGUGGCUGACAAUAAUUUCCACUUCUCUUUUUUAACCAUUUUCCUCUUAAUGCCGACUACUUUCUCCUUGUCUACUUAUCAUUUUGGAAACAGAGAAAUACUGCGUCAGGAGUCUACUAUUCAAGUUUAUGUAAAGCACUAACUUGUGACAGCUACUAUUGAGAAUUUCUUGUUAGAUUUGAAGUUAUAGCAUUCUCUAUUUAUAUAUCGAGGACUUGAUGAGGAGAAAUAUACAGCAAAUUAACCAUUAGGAUUAGUAUGCAAGUAAUAUUCUAUUUCAUCAACUAUUGUAUACUAGUAGAUGUAAAUAACAUAUUUCAUUGCGC
rnacentral:lncRNA from 1 species